rnacentral:tRNA from 1 species
GCCAUCUUAGUUCAUUUAGAAUAUUUAGUUUGCAUCUAAAAGGAAGCCAUGCUAGAUGACA